GUCUCGGUCUCUAGGGUGGUCGUGUCGAUCCCGGACGAGCCCCCAAAUGAAAGACCCCAGAAGGGAGACCCUCACUCAAGCCUCGGGAUAUGGCACGGACCCAAAUGAGACGCGGAGACCG
rnacentral:pre_miRNA from 7 species